AAAAUCAAAUUAACACCCCAAACCCCAGGGGACUUGGGGCAGCAGCAGGGCAGAGAACAGACUAUCCUAGGGCAACCGCCUCCCCCUCCUGAAUUUUUCGAUCUUCUUUCUUUCAAUCUCUAAGGGACCAGCAGAGAAUUCACCUGAACAUAGGGAAAAGAGUGACGAGAGGGAGAGAAGCAGAGGGAACGAUAUAGUGAGAACGAGGGUGAGAAGGGAACGACCAGAAUUUCAAUAAAAGAAAAGGAAAAACGUUACAGAGAGGCUACGUGAGUUUGAUGAUGCACUAAAAGAGACGAACGAAAGUACUGUCCUUCAAAUUUUGGUUUUAAAAAUGGAGGUCAUCCGAGGUUGUGUUUGAUUCGAGGUUUCCGGUCUGGGUUCGUGAGCUUGAAGCAACCGUUGAUGUGCACUUGAUUUGGAGCUCUAUUGUUUAAUAUAAAAGGAAGAUUCGUCAAAGGUUUAUUCCUUCCCUUUCCUCUGUUUUUUGAUUUAUCUCCCGUGAGUUGUUUGUGUUUGUUUGGAAUCCAUGCUUUAAUUGUCAUUUUGUGAAUGACUUGCAAAUUUAUGUGUGAAUGUGAAUACAUGUUGACAUGAUUAGUAGAAUGGAGACAGUAGGUGCACGUAGAGGACAUUUCUGAUUAAAUGAACUUGGGCCAUGGGAGUUCGAACAUAAUGUUAGACUUUGGAUUUUUUUUCUUGUUGUCAUUUUAUUUUAUUUAAUUAGAUCGCUAGGAGUAUGAUAGGCCGAUAACACCUGGGUAGUCAAAUUUUAGGACUUUCUAUUUUAUUUGAGGUUAGAGGUUGUCCCGUAGUUUAUUAUUUUAUCCGAGGUAUGUCCCGUGAUGAAUGUAAUUGGAGGCUGUGACGGACAUCGUGGAGUGAGCAUUGUAUAGACUUUUAGUAUUUUCCUCUUAUUUUAUUUUCUUUUAUUAGGCGGGGACGACCUCGAACCUCUUUUAUGUUUAUUUUUGGUUUUGUAUGUUUCUGCCUCAAUUUGAGUAUUCUUUAAAGCCAACUAGAUCGUGUAUGCAACUGUGACUUUCACGGGACUCGGGGAAUGCCUAACGCUUUCUCCCCGAGUCAAAUGAACCCCCUUACCUAGAAUUUCUGGUGCAAUCAGUUUUAGAGUCAAAUGUGUUUUGAAGGAAAAUUAUUAUUUUAAAAACCCCACCUGGCACACCGAAACCAAAUGUCAGGUGGCGACUCUGAAAAAUCUUUUAAACACAAUUUUUUGUCACUUUCAAUUUGAAAACCCUUUUGAGCUUUACAAAAUCAAUUUAUCUCUUUUAAAUAGGGGUUAGUGAGGUGAAAAAAGGGGUGUGACAGUUGUGGCAGGGUGUUCAGUCGAUUAGCUAAUACCUUUUUAGUUGUCACGAUUAAUUUGCUGAAAAAAAUUGGUCUAAAAUACUCGUCAUUUUAUAAAAAUCAAGAAAGAGUUAAUUAAGUUUUUCACCUAUACCCUUUUAUUAACAAAUGUUGAGAGAGAUUAAUUAGUGAAAGCAUGAAUAAUAAUAACUUGAGAUCAAAGAAUAAAUAAGGACACUAAAAUCAAAUUAUUCUUUUAGUUAUACUCACUCCAUACCUUGUUACCGAGUCCUCUAUUGAGAUAGGCACGCCCCCAAAAUUAUUUUUAAGGUGUUGUUUUACUAAAUUACCCUUGUUAAUGGUUAUUAAAGUUAUAAUAACUCUAAUAAAUUAGCGGAGUGUUGGUACGUACUUAAUAGUUAAUACUAAGGGUAAUAUUAAAAGAAAAUAAUAAAUCUCGACUUGUUAAAAUGGACAGGUAAAAGGAAAAUUACCACAACAUGGUUCCUAGAGUUAGAAUCUUGAUUUUUGGUCGAUCUUCGUGAUGACAAACAUAAAGCAAUUUGUAUUGUUCCAUGAUCGGAUAAAAUCCCAGAAACAAAUAAGAAUAACUUUCCUCCCAAAAAAAGUUUAUGAGAGAGGAUGGCAGAGCUUUCAUCUCCUACGUGGUGACAUUACAUAAGUAAAUUUUAUUGCGUGAAUUAACUUUUGGUAUUAAUAAUCUUUUGUUUGGUAUAUUUUUGCACCCUAUGUAUUAUUAAUGCAAGUAUUAGUUAUACAACCUAUUUUGUAUUAUCACAUGUAUAACUAAUACGUACCAAACCGUGGUGUUAGCAAUACCAAGACUAUUAAUGCAUACAAUUGCAUGGUUAAAGGCAAAAUUAUUCUUAAAAACCCUUAAAGCAAAAGAAUAUGAAUGGCCUUUUUGUAAACAAUUAAUUUUCUUAAAAAUUAUGUAAUGCAUUUUAAUUUUUAAUACAUCACACCAAAUAGUGGAUAAGAAAUAAUCUCUGCAUAACUAAUACUCGUAUUAUUAACCCAUGCAUUACUAAUCUCUGCACUACUAAUACACCUUAUUCAUAAAUAUUCUUAUACACCCUACCAAACGCCCCUUAUAGUUGUUAUAAAUACAAACAAGGCCAUUGCAUUGAUUUGAGCACAUAAGGAACUUAACUCUUGUCGCUAAAUAAUGACGGGGAACGAGUUGUACAGAUAAUUUUUCUAAACGUUGUGUAUUACGCUGAAAAGAUCUUAGAGGGUUAGGAGGAAAAAUAUGUAGUUCAAACAAAAAGUGGGUGGUUGAGGGACCACGAAAAAUGUGGAAUUUAAUAAAGUUGGAAUCAUGUCGUAUUGUUUCAAGCUUUACAAACAUACGUGAAUUGCAUCAAAGAUUGGCAGGGAGCCAUGUUAGUAUCUGAAAUAUUAUUAUGUCAUUUGGAAGUUGAACUCUACAACGACGCCUCUUCUUCAUUCACAGAAUACGCCUCUUUUGAAUACUUUUUGUUGAUAUUUUUGCAACAUCACUCAAUUUUUUGAGAACUCCUUCCAUUUUGAAGACCUUAAGCUAUGCUCCUUUUUCCAUUCAACUAGGUAUCAAAUUAUAUUCAAUUUGUAAUACCAUAAAAAAAAAGUUAGGAAAGUGAGUCUUCUUUUUAAUUCUACUUUAGGUGCCGUUUGGACAUAAAACAAAUUUACUUUUUUUCCAAAAUCAGUGUUUGAUCAUAAAAUUUUUAAUUUUUCACUUCAAAAUGAAUUUUGAAAUUAUUCAAAAAUUUGAAAAACUCCAAAAAGUCAUUUUUCAAAAUUCACUUCAAAUCACUCACAAAAAUUUAAAAAUAACCAAAAAUUGAAUUCAUGUCCAAACGUAACUCUAAUUUUCAAAUAUCAUUUUCGCUUGAAUUUUCUUUUAAACUUUUUCCGGAAGUUUACAAUUCCCAUGUCCAAAAGCCCACUAAGAGUAAUAUUUGGCAGUAUAUUCACAAUUCAACUCGGAGUCGAACCGUAAUACCAUAAAAAAGUAGUAUUCUACAGGUUUCGCCAUUUUUUAUGGUGAUACAAUUUGAAUAUACUGCCAAAUUUGACUCCUAGCUGAACUGGGGAUGAACUGCCAAGUAUUACUCUUAGUAGAAUUGGAAAGAAACACUUUCGGCUAAUCGUUUUUUUUUAUUCUCUUUCUCCAAGAACUCUCCACCUUGUUCUUGGGAUGACUUGAACUCACAACCUAUUGGUUGUAAGAAGACACUUUCGGCGAAACCAGUAAUUUUUUUUUCUUUUUUCUUAUUUUUUUUAUUCCCUCCCUCCAAGAGCUCCCCACCUUGCUCUUGGUGUGACUCGAACUCACAACCUAUUGGUUGGAGGUGAAGAGUGUUCACCACUGGAGCAACUCGCUCUUGUCGACAAAACCAGUAAUUAAUUGUAUUGCCAUGCAUAGUCUUUUUCCCAAUUCUACUACGUACUUGAUGCUCAACAAUUAUUUACAGAUAACUUCCCUACAUAUCUUAGUUGAGAGCGAGAAUCUACAUGGUUUCGAAACUACCCCUGCCUUAGACACUGUAUUUCGGGACCGCUUCAUAAAAAGAAAACAAAUCUCAAAUUAAAAAUCAAAGAUUUAUAUCGUAACAACACUUGGGAUCUUUCUCAAUUAUCGUUCGAAAUUCCUAAUGAUAUUGUUAAAACCAUUCUAACGGUUAACAUUCUUGUCUGGAUGGUUGUUACCCGUUGUAUUGUAUCGUAUUAUUACUUUAAAUACGAUGUUUGUUUUGAUUGUUACUUAAAUUUUCUUGUAUCGUAUCGUUAAUCCGUCGUUACAUAACGUCGAAAUAUGAUACUUUAUGUAACAACCAAUUUGGUGUGGUCGCGUCAUUACCUUGCCUUUUUAUCUCAAUCUCACCCUUCAUUAUUAUUAAAUAAUUUUAUUUUAUCAUUUACCCUACUUUUUUAUAUAGUAAUUUUACAUUGUGUCAUAAUUUUUCUUUAUAAUAUUACAAGUUUAUUCUUUAUAUUGUUGGUGUGUGAUAUCAUGAAAUAAUGACAAACGAUACAAUCUAUCCAAAUAUUAUAUUUAUCAAAUGAUACAAUACAAUAUGAUACGUUAUAAAACGACACUUAACAACCAUCCAAACAAACUAAAUGAAGAAAAAAUGAUAUCCUAACAUGUAAUUUCAGGCAAGGGAAUCAGGUGGCAUAUCUUUUGGCGGCGGAAGCUACAAAACGGUCCAUGCAAAAGCAAAUUAAAGCAGAAAAAGUAUUGGCAAAGUAGUACAAAUCAUCUCGCACAAUACAAAUCAUCAGGUAACAUUCUAAUAUAUUAUCUGUGUGUUUCAAUACAUGACAUCUAUGAGUAGCAAAAAGGUACACCAACUUCAGUUAAUCCCAGGCACAAUAUGAAAAGCCAAUAUGGGACCUCUUCUCCUUUGUUUCACUACGAAUUAAAGGGCCGAGGGAGAGAGUUUAGGAAACGAAGUAUUGUGUUAAUAAUGAGGAUAUGCUGGAGUAUACAAAUUAGUAAAAAUUAGGUAAAUUAUACUGAUAAAUUACACCUCCCUGAGAUAUGAGAUUUCAAUGAUGAAAUCGUCUCGCAUUAACAACAGCCAUGGAACAGAAACAAGAUGAAAGAGCACAUACACCAUCAUAUCAAAAAGAGAGAGAGAUCUAAUUCAACAUGAGUGCAUGCAUAAAGAAAACAGAUCCAACUGUGUAUCCCUCACUUUAUCAUGUGUAUAUAUUGAUAGUAGCAAACCUGUUGUUGUAUGUGAAAGAAACAAAAGUGGACAAAACAAAAGAAAGAAAAAUCAAAAAGAGAUAAACUUAUGAUGUAUGCGCUUAAAUCGACAUUCUUAUGAUAUAUGCGCUUAUAUCGACAUCCGUAUGAUGUAAGCGCUUACCUUGGCAGGACAUUCAAAU
rnacentral:lncRNA from 1 species